rnacentral:rRNA from 1 species
GAUGAACGCUGGCGGCGUGCCUAAUACAUGCAAGUCGAGCGAACCACUUCGGUGGUGAGCGGCGAACGGGUGAGUAACACGUAGGUGAUCUGCCCAUCAGACGGGGACAACGAUUGGAAACGAUCGCUAAUACCGGAUAGGACGAAAGUUUAAAGGUGCUUCUGGCACCGCCGAUGGAUGAGCCUGCGGCGCAUUAGCUAGUUGGUAGGGUAAAGGCCUACCAAGGCGACGAUGCGUAGCCGACCUGAGAGGGUGAACGGCCACACUGGGACUGAGACACGGCCCAGACUCCUACGGGAGGCAGCAGUAGGGAAUCUUCGGCAAUGGGCGAAAGCCUGACCGAGCAACGCCGCGUGAAUGAUGAAGGCCUUCGGGUUGUAGAAUUCUGUUAUAAGGGAAGAACGACUUUAGUAGGAAAUGGCUAGAGUGUGACGGUACCUUAUGAGAAAGCCACGGCUAACUACGUGCCAGCCGCCGCGGUAA